rnacentral:misc_RNA from 1 species
AACUUGUGUUGGGGAUCUUAGGGUAAGUGCAGACAGUCCAGUAUCUAAUGACCUUUCUUAAAAUUAUGUUUUAAAAUGCAACUUGAUGGUUUUUAUCUGGAUAUUCAGGGUAUCUUCCCUCAUCUAGUGUUAUCACUUAUCAAGUAUAUGUUUUGAAUUUGUUUUUUUCCAUGCACCAUAUAGGAGACAGUAAUUCAUAAAUAAUAUUGUUACCUAGAUCCUGGAGAAGUUUUGAUCAGAGAACUUUCAUUCUGAAAGCAUAGAGUGGUAAAUUUUUUAAAAUAAAUAAAGGAAAAUAUUAUCAAUUGAAAGUCAAAGAAUAAUGGAAGAAUAACAACAAUGGUAAAAUUUGAAAGAAAGCUAUUUCACAUGGAGAAAGGCCUACAUUGUAGGACAUAGGGAUGUGUGGUUCCGGUUUCAGUUCGAUUCAAUGCAAGAACUGGAACUAGAACUGAAUUUAGGUUCUUUCAUUUUUUGAAAUCAAAAGAGGAAUCAAAUUUCGGCUCCAAUUCCGGUUCGGUUUUAAUUGCUUUUGCUUCUGGUUCAGUUCUAGUUUUGGUUAUGAUUUCGGUUUUAGUUCUGGUUUCAAUUUGGUUCCUAUACUCAAAAUUGCAGUAUUUUUAUAUUCUUUCUAAAAGAACAAAAAUAAUUAUAU